rnacentral:rRNA from 1 species
CAGCCGCCGCGGUAAUACCGGCGGCCCGAGUGGCGGUCACUAUUAUUGGGCUUAAAGCGUCCGUAGCCGGGUUGGGAAGUCCUCCGGGAAAUCUGGCCGCUUAACGGUCAGAAUGCCGGAGGAUACUCCCAGCCUAGGGAGCGGGAGAGGCCGAGGGUAUUCCCGGAGUAGGGGUGAAAUCCUAUAAUCCCGGGAGGUCCACCUGUGGCGAAGGCGCUCGGCUGGAACGCGUCCGACGGUGAGGGACGAAGGCCAGGGGAGCAAACCGGAUUAGAUACCCGGGUAGUCCUGGCUGUAAACGAUGCGGACUUUGUGUCGGACAAGCUAUGAGCUUGUCCGGUGCCGGAGGGAAACCGUUAAGUCCGCCGCCUGGGGAGUACGGCCGCAAGGCUGAAACUUAAAGGAAUUGGCGGG